GACCCCGUAGCUCAGUAGGAUAGAGCACUUCUCUCCUAAAGAAGGUGUCGGAGGUUCGAAUCCUCUCGGGGUCGCCA
rnacentral:tRNA from 2 species